rnacentral:rRNA from 1 species
CGAAAGCCUGACGCAGCGACGCCGCGUGAGGGAAGAAGGCCUUCGGGUUGUAAACCUCUUUCAGGAGGGGACCGAAGCCACUCGGGUUAAUAGCCCCAGAGGGUGACGGUACCUCCAGAAGAAGCCCCGGCUAACUACGUGCCAGCAGCCGCGGUAAUACGUAGGGGGCAAGCGUUGUCCGGAUUUAUUGGGCGUAAAGCGCGUGUAGGCGGCCACGCAGGUCCGCUGUGAAAACUCGAGGCUCAACCUCGAGAUGUCGGUGGAAACCGCGUGGCUAGAGUCCGGAAGAGGAGAGUGGAAUUCCCGGUGUAGCGGUGAAAUGCGCAGAUAUCGGGAAGAACACCCAUGGCGAAGGCAGCUCUCUGGGACGGUACUGACGCUAGAGGCGCGAAAGCUAGGGGAGCAAACGGGAUUAGAUACCCCGGUAGUCCUAGCCGUAAACGAUGGACACUAGGUGUUGGUGGUAUCAACCCCGCCAGUGCCGUAGCUAACGCAUUAAGUGUCCCGCCUGGGGAGUACGGCCGCAAGGCUA